AGUAGUAGAAAGCAAGACGUGGCUAUGACAUGUUGCUCCCGUGAUUGCAUUUUACAAAUGAAGCCCCUCACCAACGAAGACUCAACAAGGCUGUUUUUCAGUAGGGUAUUUGGCUCGAAAGAAGCUUGCCCUCCCCAGCUUAGAGAUAUUUCGGUUGAAAUUCUCAAAAAAUGUGGUGGUUUACCUCUUGCAGUUAUUAGUAUAUCUGGUAUGCUAGCAAAUAAAGAUUGCAACCAAAAGGAAAGGUGGGAAUAUGUACAAGAUUCUAUGGGCUCGGAAAGCAAUCACAUGCUUGACGGGAUGAGGCAAAUCUUAAACCUCAGCUACAAAGAUCUUCCUCCUUAUCUGAAGACAUGCUUGUUGUAUAUUGGUAUGUAUCCGGAGGACUACCAAAUAGAGAGGUCUAAUCUGGAACGCCAGUGGAUGGCUGAAGGUUUCAUCAGUAUAGAAAAUGGACAAGAUGUGGAGAAGGUUGCAAGAAAUUAUUUCAAUGAGCUUGUGAAUAGAAGCCUUAUUCAACCUAUAGAAUUCGAUAAGAGAGGGUCGGUGACAAAAUGCAAGGUUCAUGAUAUGUUGCUUGAUCUUAUCUUGAUUAAGUCAGCACAGGAGAAUUUUCUCACUAUAGUGGAUGACCCACAUGCCUUUACAAGACUGCAAUGCAAGGUCCGUCGGCUGUCUAUCCGCUUGGAUGGUGCAAGUAAUGGCCGAGAAAUAGUAUCGACAAAUACUAGUAUGUCACAGGUUCGGUCGGUUAUGUUCUUUGGGAGCUCUCAGAUUACACCUCCUUUGUCAGAGUUCAAGUUCCUCCGAGUUGUUCAUAUUGACCUCGAUGAUGCUAAAGUCGACCUCACUGGACUGUGUAACCUUUAUCAGCUGAGAUAUUUAUGCAUUAGUGAUGGCUGUUCAUACCAGCUACCAACAAAGAUUGGAGUGCUUCAACACUUGGAGACACUUGAGCUGUUUAGUUGUGACAGGGUUCCGUCAGAUAUAAUUCAUCUCCCCUUGAUGUUUCUGAAAGCUUGGACGAGACUACCUGAUGGGAUUGGCAAUAUGAAAUCCCUACGGCAUCUAUUUGGAUUUGAUUUUGCGUUGUACAAGCUAGAUAAUAUCAGGGGCCUUGGAGAGCUUACCAAUCUGAAAUUUCUAUUUCUCACGUGCAGCUUUCGUAAGGAUGACUGGGAGAGACGCAUGGAUGCUCUAUGCUCUUCUCUGGGAAACCUGUGUCACCUAGAGAAUCUGUUUGUCGAUCUCAUCGGCUGCAUAGAUGGCUUCAUGCCAUUGUCUCCUCCCCCAACUCGCUACCGCCUUGAGAGAAUUAUCAUGCAAUGGAGGUGCUGGUUUUCCAGGGUCCCUAGCUGGAUGCGGGAGCUCCAUAACCUCUGCCAGUUGAAGUUCAAAGUUGCUGAGCUGCUAACUGAUGGUGUUGGAAUCCUUGCUGAGCUGCCUGCCCUCACUCACCUUGAUGUAGAGACCGGAAAAGCCACAAACAAAGUGAUUUCCAUCGAGAGAGGAGCAUUCCCUGCUCUAAAGAGUUUUAAGCUUCUACUCCCUCCGUUCCUAAAUAUAAGUUUUUGGAGAGAUUCCACUAUGGUCCACAUACGGAGCAAAAUAUGUGAAUCUAUACUCUAA
rnacentral:rRNA from 1 species